UGUCCCAGGACAGUUUGGUAGUCUU
rnacentral:piRNA from 1 species